ensembl:snoRNA
ACUGCCCUUAGAGGUGUUACAGGUAUGACCUCUGUGUCACGUGUGUGUCAGUACACGGCAGUGAGGAGAGAGGUUAUGUCUAUGCUCGCUAUUUUGUCCUGUGAGCAUCUAAGCGAUUAGUAGCCUAAGGAG